rnacentral:rRNA from 1 species
GAUGAACGCUGGCGGCGUGCCUAAUACAUGCAAGUCGAGCGAACAGACGAGGAGCUUGCUCCUCUGACGUUAGCGGCGGACGGGUGAGUAACACGUGGAUAACCUACCUAUAAGACUGGGAUAACUUCGGGAAACCGGAGCUAAUACCGGAUAAUAUAUUGAACCGGAUGGUUCAAUAGUGAAAGACGGGUUUGCUGUUACUUAUAGAUGGAUCCGCGCCGCAUGAGCUAGUUGGUAAGGUAACGGCUUACCAAGGCAACGAUGCGUAGACGACCUGAGAGGGUGAUCGGCCACACUGGAACUGAGACACGGUCCAGACUCCUACGGGAGGCAGCAGUAGGGAAUCUUCCGCAAUGGGCGAAAGCCUGACGGAGCAACGCCGCGUGAGUGAUGAAGGUCUUCGGAUCGUAAAACUCUGUUAUUAGGGAAGAACAAAUGUGUAAGUAACUAUGCACGUCUUGACGGUACCUAAUCAGAAAGCCACGGCUAACUACGUG